rnacentral:rRNA from 1 species
CCUACGGGGGGCAGCAGUGAGGAAUAUUGGUCAAUGGGCGCGAGCCUGAACCAGCCAAGUAGCGUGAAGGAUGACUGCCCUACGGGUUGUAAACUUCUUUUAUAAAGGAAUAAAGUGAGGCACGUGUGCCUUUUCGUACGUACUUUAUGAAUAAGGAUCGGCUAACUCCGUGCCAGCAGCCGCGGUAAUACGGAGGAUCCGAGCGUUAUCCGGGUUUAUUGGGUUUAAAGGGAGCGUGGAUGGGUUGUUAAGUCAGUUGUGAAAGUUUGGGGCUCAACCGUAAGAUUGCCAUUGAUAGUGGCAGUCUUGAGUACAGUAGAGGUAAGCGGAAUUCGUGGUGUAGCGGUGAAAUGCUUAGAUAUCACGAAGAACUCCGAUUGCGAAGGCAGCUUACUAAACUGCCACUGACAUUGAUGCACGAAAGUGUGGGUAUCAAACAGGAUUAGAUACCCCAGUAGUC